ACUGAAACCACUCCUUCUGCCACACGUCCACAUCCUGCUGUUCAGGAUCUGCUCUGUGUUUGUGCUGGGAGCUCAGCUGUGCUUUAGACCUGUAUGCUUUAUUUUUAUAUCAUAGCAACACUAAAAUGAUAUUCUCUCUUAUUCUUCUACUUAUUUGUGUCGCAGCAUCACAAGAUGCUUCAGGAAAUAUAUCAGAGACACAACCGCCCAGCGGUUUAACAGUCCAGCCCACUGGCACCACAGACCCUGGAGAUGCUUCUGAGUCACAGACUACAACACAGCUAAUAACAAUCCAACAAACAACACAAAUGGAUGUCACAAACAACACUGAGACAACCACUUCACAAUCUACCUGGCUGCCCCAGACGUCUGAACUGACAGCGUCCGAACUGAAAUUCACCUCUGUCGACUCUAGUGAAACAUUUCCAGCAGAAGAAAACAACAAAGCCUAUGGCACAGAUCUGGGAGACAGAGGAGGACAAGAUGUGGCAACAAAUCCAGGGCUGGUUGCAGUAGUGUGUAUUUUCAGCAUUGUGGUGGCUGUAGUUGUUGUGGUUGUGAUAGUGAAGACUGUUCGCUCCAGGAGGCCACAGUUUGAGAGGCUUGAUGAUGUACCAAUGGUGAGUCUUAAAUUUACAUUAGUGGUUCUGCACUGUAAUCAUAAUUAUAGGGCAAGCAGCAAAGUUUACUGCAUUUACUUCCAGCUGUGA
ensembl:lncRNA